rnacentral:tRNA from 1 species
AAGCUUAGGUUAAACUAAACCAGAGACCUUCAAAGCCUCAAACAAGAGCCCACAGCCCUCCUAGCUUCU